ACGGGAAUGUGAAUUGACGGGUUUGCCCUUAGUGGGUGCUAAGGUAUGUGUGUGACACAUUAUGGAUUAUGCAUAUUUUCCUAAAGUUUGGAAAGUUGUAUAUGGAUUAAAAAAUUUGGGUUUUUCAUUUUUGUAUGGUUAGGAUGAAAUGGAUGGUGGAGAUUGAGUGGACCACCCACACCUAAAACUCCCUAUUCUCUCUCUUCCUCUUCCCGUAUCACUCUCUCUCUCCUCCCUCACGAUUCUUCCCCUCUCUCACCCACAUCGUACGGACGGCAACCAAAACCACCCAAAACUUCGUGGAUCGAAGCAAAUAAGGUAAGAAUCUUCACCCUCUUGAAGUUCUGAGUUGAUUGGUGUUAGUUUUAGGACGUAGAAACCUUCGAAAAACCCCUGAACCCGAACCUCCAUUUUUGAGUUACUGUUCAUGCGCACGUAAAAUGUCGUGUUUUAGGGAAUUCUAAGCUUGUAGUGAGCUUAGGGAAGUCCUAAGGAGGCUCGGAGUACUUCGUUUGAAGGAUUUGGACGUCGGGAUCACGUGGUUCCAUUUUGGCCGAAUUUCUUGGGAAUUUUCCGGUGAGAUUUCUUGAUUUUUAGAGCCUUAAAGUAGUGUAUUGUGAUUUCUACAUGUUUGGGGCUUCAAUUUGAUAUAUUAUACGAAGAAAAUGGGUGAAAAACGAAGGAGAAUAGGGCAUUUGAAGUUUGGCCGGAAACCGGCCACCGGGAAAAAACCAGUCCGGCGACUGGCUGAGGAAGAUGAUGCGCGUGGGGGCGCGUGUCCCCGUGCUUGCCCUGGCGCGUGGGGGCGCGUGCCACAUCAAAAAAAUUAUUUUUUAAAAAAUAUGUCAACGUCCGUGACGUCGAGUAGAUCACUGUGGCAUAUUCAUAUACCCAAAUUGAGCACCGUAUGAGAAAGUUAUUAAGGAUUGUUGGUUAGGUGUUCGAUUAACGUUUUAUAGUUUUCGCAUUAGGUGAAAAUGUGAAUUGAUGAUCCGACCGUUGGAUCGUUACCAAACUUUGGUACGUUGUAAUACGUAAUAUUUGAGGAUUAUUGGAACUUACGGAUUGGGAAUCCGAGUUACGGAUCUUCCGGAAUUGGAGUUGUAAGUUCAUGAAAUAAAAUGUUAACCGUCACUUAGUUUUGGAAAUUGACGGAGAUUCGACCGUUGGAUGGUAAUGAAAUUUCAGGAUGUUGUCCUAGAGAUAUAUUUUGUGGGCCUCUGGAAGUUAUGGAUUUAAAAUCUGAGUUGCAGAUCUUUCGGAUCGAACUGCGUAGUGAUGUGUUUUAUAUAAGUUAUAUUCUAUCGAGAUGAUUUCUGAGGUUGGAUUUGAUUAUUGUUCUAGGCGGCGAUCGUCAUGACGCCUUGAUGUGUUGUGCUAGGGAGUUGUAGGGCGAACUCCAGGUGAGUGGGCAGUUUUGUUUUCGUAUUACCUAUAUACUAUUGAGUUUUCCCAGAAAUUGAAUUUAAAUGAAAGCAUGAUUUAAAAUGCCAUGGAUAGAAUUAUAUGAAAAGUAUGAUUUGGAAUGCCAUGCAUAGAAGUAUAUGAAAAGCAUGAAUUGAUAUAUGAUGCAUAUAUAUAUAUGUGAAUUGGUGCUGUGGACGCACAGGUAAGUAUCAGGUGAGUUUUAUAUUAUUCAUGUGCAUUGUUGAUGUGUAUAUUGUGGAUAGCUCAUAACCUGCAAUCAUGGUGUUAGUGCUUAUAUUAUUCACCACACCGCACGUUCGUCUUGGAUCCAAGUAGGUGGAUGUCGUACAGACCAAGUGAGGGUUCCGACAUGCUAGUCGUAUAGAUUACUAGAUGUGAUUCCGACUAGUGGGUGACCUUAGAUUAUGUGCACAGAUGAUUGAUGAGAGAAGCACUAGAGCGUAUUAUUACACCAUCCAUGUCGUACAGACUACUUCAGGUAGUUCCGACUUAUCUGCAGUGUAGUGCCGUACAGGUCAUCGAGGUGACUCCGGUUGGAUUGGAUGUUGAGCUAUGGAAUUAACCGUACAGGACCAACUGCAGGGUCUCCGGUUAAUUCAACUUUUCACCUGUUACAUUGAUGCAUCAUUUAUUUUGUUUUCGAAAUUAAAACAUGGCAUACUUUCGAGUUUUAAAGAAAAAUUGAUGAUUCGAGAUUUAUGAAAAGUAUUAUGUUAUUAUAUUAUUUUCUGGGAAAAGUAUACAGGUUUUACAGUGAGGGGUUAUAAUUAUUUUUGGCGAAAUGUUUUUGAAAAGAUUUGUUUUACUGACCCACUCAAUUUUGUUUUUCGCCCCUCCAGGUUCUUGAUAGCAGAGUUUUGGUGGCCACGAGGAAUCCAACGGUAUUCUGACAGAAUUCACAAAAAGUAGGACUCAUCCUCGAGGGUUUCCAUUUUAAUAAUUGUAUUUUAAAAGCUUCCGAACUGUGUAAAUGGUUACGUCACUCUCAUGUGACGGCCAGCAUGCCCUCCUUCGAGAUGGGGUGUGUCAGUUGGUAUCAGAGCCUAGGUUGCAAUCCUGGACAUCUUGAGAAUUUCCUAUUGAAUUCUGUCAGAACUAUACCGCCUCGUAGCAAGCCACGUAGUUCAGAUGAACCUAGUCUCCCUGAUAUAGCAGUGUAGGGGAAACUAUUACUAUGGUGAUUCAGUCUAUUACCUAAAUUAACCAUUAGAGACUUAUUAUAAGUUGAAUUUGAAUCACUUAAUGGAAAUGAUGAACCUGAGGGAGCGGAGUGACGGUUUAACCAAUUGGAAAAGAUGUUUUAGAUUAUGCAAGUCAAAGGAAUCUUCCUUCUGACAGGUGGGUCGAGACGACUACCUGGUUUUGAGUUAUGAACUUGUAUCCUGGUGGAAACAGGAGUAUUAUUUGUUGUCACCGGAGGAAACAACUGAUUGAGAAUUGUUUAAGGACUUGUUAAAGAAAAGAAUUAUUCCUCCGGCAUAUUAUGAUGGUAGUAAGCAAGAGUUUGCAAAUGUGAAUCAAGGUGAUUUGAAUAAAGGAAAGGUACCUUUGUGCAGUAGGUACAAUAUUUGACACUUUGGAAAGUGUGGGAAUCAGUGAAUGUGUUCAUGUGGACAGAUGGGACAUAGAGUUAUGAAUUGUCCCUAGAAUCAGUUGUACCCAACAGUUUUCCAUGACACCAUAGUAUCGAUUCAGCAGGUUUACAGACUUAGUAGUUUGGUCGGAUUGACCGUGGGUACAGAGAUAUUUGAUGAGUUAAAUGUUCAGCUGUGCAGGUCAGCUGAUAUAAUCCUUAUUAUUGAAGAUGUACCAAAGAAAGUAGUGGAUGAACACGAUCGAGGCAUGUAUAUGUAUUUUCUAAGAGAGGCAAGAUGGUAAUAUUGUAUCCUUGGGAAUUGUUGCUUACUUAUCGAGACAACAGUGAGUUAUCUGUAUUGCGGGCUGCAGACCGUAAUAUUUAUAACUUAUUUGUUGGAUUCGUUAAGCAAGUAAACAGGUAAGUUGCCCUACCUUGGUUUGGUGUUCAGUGAUGGUGGAAGAAGUAGUUAUGCCAGUGAAUCUUAUCGUAUUAGGCAUUGUGGAUUUCGAUGUGAUUUUAAGCACAGAUUGGUUAGGUUAUAAUCUUGCCAAUAUGGAUUAUCAGAGGUUACUUUUAUGGGUAUGCAAAGUGGAUUGAGUUAGGCCAUUAUUGUGCUUUGAGAACAAGAUAUAAAUAUCGAAAGACUGCCCAGGGAUAUUUAGCUCAAGUGGUGCUAAAUGAUGUUGCUUCUAGUAUUUUGGGAAAUGUAAAGGUGGUUAGACAUUUUCUUGAUGUUUUCUCUGAGGAAUUACCUGGAUUGCCGUCGGGCGGAGAUGUAGAGUUCAAUGUUGAAUUGUCUCCAGGUACAAAUUUUAUGUUAGAGAUUGAUUCAUGAGGAGUUAAGGGAAUUGGAAAUUCGGUUACAUGAAUUAGUUGAUAAAGGUUUCAUUCAAAGUACAUCACGUAGAGGGAGCACCAGCUUAUUGUCGAGGAAGGAAAUGGACAUUAAGGCUAUACAUUGAAUAUAGGCAAUUGAAUCGGGUAAUGAUCAAGAACCGUUAUCCAUUGUUGCGUAUUGAUGAUUUAUUGAUCAACUUAGAGGUCUGCGUAUUUCCUAAGAUUGACAUAAGGUCUGGUUGUUACUGAUUGAAGAGUUAAUGAUAACGUUCCUAAGAUUGUGUUCAGGACUCGUUACGGUCAUUAUGAGUUUUAGUGAUGUUAUUCGGAUUGACGGAUUCUCCUGCUGUUUUAUGAGUUUGAUGGAUGAAGUAUUCCAGGAAUGCCUUAACAAGUUGUUAUUAUUUUCAUUGACGAUAUUCUGGUAUACUCUGAGCCUAGAGCAGAGCAGGUUAGGCAUGUUAAAUUGGUGUUGCAAGAUUGAGAGAACGUCGAUGGUAUGCUAAGUUUAACAAAUGUCAAGGUUGAAUGGAUUAAGUAACAUUUCUGAGAUAAGUAUAUUGCUAAAGGUAUUCAAGUGAAUUCUUAAAAGGUAGCAGAAAUUGAGAAUUUAGAAUAACCAGGAACCGUGAUUGAGAUUGGAAGUUUCGUAGUUCGGCAGACUAUUACGGACGGUUUGUGAAAGAUUUUCUAGUCCUUACUUUGCCAUUGUCGAGAUUGACGAGAACAUAAGUUAAGUUUGAAUGGGAUGAUAAUUGCGAGCAAGGGUUUCAACAGUUGAAGUAUUUCCUCACUCGUACGCGUAUUCUAGCGCUCACUGGAGAUAGCGGUAAUUACGAGAUCCUUAGUGAUGCUUCUUUGAUUGGUUUUGGAUGAGUGUUAAUGUAGUAAGGUAGAGAGAUUGCCUAUGCUUCUCGGCAAUCGAAGCUUCAUGAAAAUGAAUUACUCUACUCGUAAUUUGGACUUUGCAACUAUUAUCCUUACUUUGAAAUUUUUGGAGAUAUUAUCGUUGUGGUGAGAAAUACAAAAUUGUUAUGGAUUUUAAGAGUCUCUAAUAUCUGUUUACUCGAAGGAUCUUAAUCUUAGGCAACGAAGGUGGUUAGAUCUGCUUAGUGAUUAUGAUUGCACGACAAGAUGAUCAUACAAAUGUGUGGUGGCCAAUGUUUUUAGUAGGAAGACCCUAGUGAGAAUUAAUGUUUGGUACAGUUGUCAUGUUCAUCUUCUUGUGGAUUUGAGAUCUAUUGGAGUAAAGUUGGGAAUGGAAGAUCGAAAAAAGAACUUGCUAAUUUUCAAGUUGACCUAAUUGGUAGAUCGUACUCGAGACUCAAGCAUUUGAUGAAGAAAUUCAAGUAUUUAUUUUAAAGCAAGGAAUAGCGAGGAAAAGAAAGACCUCAGAGUCAGAGAAUCAGAUGGCAAGCUGAUGCAAGAGAACAAGGUAUUUGUACCUAAUGUUAUGGAGUUAAGGAAGUAAUUUUGGAAUUAGCGUACGGUUCAGUUUAUGCAAUGCAUCCUGGGGGUACUGAUAUGUAUUAUACCAUUCGAUCAUAUUACUAUUGAUCAAGUAUGAAAAGAGAAACUUUGGUAUAUAUUAAUAGUGUAUCAUCGGAUAGCAGGUUAAAUCAGAAAGAAAUAAGUCUUUUGGAUUGAUGUAGUCACUUCCCAUUCCACUGUGGAAAUGAGAAAAUAUUAAUAUAGAUUGUGUGUGCAAGUUCCUCGUUCACGAAACGGUUAUAAUGAAAUUUGAGGUGAUAAUUGAUUUGUUUACUAAAGCAGAGCAGUAUUCUUCAAUGAAAGAGCAAUCACCUUUCCAGAAGUGCAACAGUUAUUUAUUUGUCUUAUGGAAAAGAGAUUUGGUCUUACGGAUCUGUUGAACUUCUUGGGUAUGUUGGUCCUGUCAGCUUGUUCCCGAGAGCAACGCCAUAAGGCCGUGGAAAGCUGUGUCUUGUGUUUCAAAACUGUUAGAAUUGUGAACGGAUGGUAUUUUGGGGAGCAAAAAGGUUUAACCACAAAAAGUCAAUUUUAAGGCCCUGAGUUAGUAGAGGAGACUACUCAAAAUAUUCAAGUGAUUAAGUUUAACCUGAAAGCAGCCCAGGAUCGACAGAAGAGUUUAGCUGAUCGACAUGCCACUGAUCGAGUGUAUGAUGUGGGGUAAUUUGGUGUUCUUGAAAUUGUCACCUUGGAGAGGUGUGGUAUGAUUUUGGGAAAAGAGGAAAGCUAAGUCCGAGAUACAUUGGACCCUAUGAGAUCACUGAAAGAAUUGGUGAAGUUGCCUACCGGUUGGAGUUGCCUCCGGAGUUAUCUAAGGUCCAUAAUGUAUUUCACGUCUCUAUGCUUCGACAUUAUAUUUAUGAUCCUUCGCAUGUGAUUCCUCCUCAACCGUUGGAGAUCAAUUCGGAUUUGACGUAUGAUGAGGAACCAGUGACUAUCUUGGAUUGGAAGGAUAAGGUUCUAAGGAACAAAACGGUGAGUUGGGUGAAGGUGUUGUGGAUGAACCAUUCUGUAAAAGAAGCUAUCUGGGAGACAGAAGAUCGAAUGAGAGAGAUGUACCAAGGUUGUUCUAUGGGUAUUGAGUGGUUUACUUGGUUAUGGGAAUUUCGGGGACGAAAUUCUAUAAGGAGGGAAGAUUGUCACAACCCGUCCCGAAGGUACAUUUGACGGGAAUGUGAAUUGACGGGUUUGCCCUUAGUGGGUGCUAAGGUAUGUGUGUGACACAUUAUGGAUUAUGCAUAUUUUCCUAAAGUUUGGAAAGUUGUAUAUGGAUUAAAAAAUUUGGGUUUUUCAUUUUUGUAUGGUUAGGAUGAAAUGGAUGGUGGAGAUUGAGUGGACCACCCACACCUAAAACUCCCUAUUCUCUCUCUUCCUCUUCCCGUAUCACUCUCUCUCUCCUCCCUCACGAUUCUUCCCCUCUCUCACCCACAUCGUACGGACGGCAACCAAAACCACCCAAAACUUCGUGGAUCGAAGCAAAUAAGGUAAGAAUCUUCACCCUCUUGAAGUUCUGAGUUGAUUGGUGUUAGUUUUAGGACGUAGAACCUUCGAAAAACCCCUGAACCCGAACCUCCAUUUUUGAGUUACUGUUCAUGCGCACGUAAAAUGUCGUGUUUUAGGGAAUUCUAAGCUUGUAGUGAGCUUAGGGAAGUCCUAAGGAGGCUCGGAGUACUUCGUUUGAAGGAUUUGGACGUCGGGAUCACGUGGUUCCAUUUUGGCCGAAUUUCUUGGGAAUUUUCCGGUGAGAUUUCUUGAUUUUUUAGAGCCUUAAAGUAGUGUAUUGUGAUUCUACAUGUUUGGGGCUUCAAUUUGAUAUAUUAUACGAAGAAAAAUGGGUGAAAAACGAAGGAGAAUAGGGGCAUUUGAAGUUUGGCCGGAAACCGGCCACCGGGAAAAAACCAGUCCGGCGACUGGCUGAGGAAGAUGAUGCGCGUGGGGGCGCGUGUCCCCGUGCUUGCCCUGGCGCGUGGGGGCGCGUGCCACAUCAAAAAAUUAUUUUAAAAAUAUGUCAACGUCCGUGACGUCGAGUAGAUCACUGUGGCAUAUUCAUAUACCCAAAUUGAGCACCGUAUGAGAAAGUUAUUAAGGAUUGUUGGUUAGGUGUUCGAUUAACGUUUUAUAGUUUUCGCAUUAGGUGAAAAUGUGAAUUGAUGAUCCGACCGUUGGAUCGUUACCAAACUUUGGUACGUUGUAAUACGUAAUAUUUGAGGAUUAUUGGAACUUACGGAUUGGGAAUCCGAGUUACGGAUCUUCCGGAAUUGGAGUUGUAAGUUCAUGAAAUAAAAUGUUAACCGUCACUUAGUUUUGGAAAUUGACGGAGAUUCGACCGUUGGAUGGUAAUGAAAUUUCAGGAUGUUGUCCUAGAGAUAUAUUGUGGGCCUCUGGAAGUUAUGGAUUUAAAAUCUGAGUUGCAGAUCUUUCGGAUCGAACUGCGUAGUGAUGUGUUUUAUAUAAGUUAUAUUCUAUCGAGAUGAUUUCUGAGGUUGGAUUUGAUUAUUGUUCUAGGCGGCGAUCGUCAUGACGCCUUGAUGUGUUGUGCUAGGGAGUUGUAGGGCGAACUCCAGGUGAGUGGGCAGUUUUGUUUUCGUAUUACCUAUAUACUAUUGAGUUUUCCCAGAAAUUGAAUUUAAAUGAAAGCAUGAUUUAAAAUGCCAUGGAUAGAAUUAUAUGAAAAGUAUGAUUUGGAAUGCCAUGCAUAGAAGUAUAUGAAAAGCAUGAAUUGAUAUAUGAUGCAUAUAUAUAUAUGUGAAUUGGUGCUGUGGACGCACAGGUAAGUAUCAGGUGAGUUUUAUAUUAUUCAUGUGCAUUGUUGAUGUGUAUAUUGUGGAUAGCUCAUAACCUGCAAUCAUGGUGUUAGUGCUUAUAUUAUUCACCACACCGCACGCUCGUCUUGGAUCCAAGUAGGUGGAUGUCGUACAGACCAAGUGAGGGUUCCGACAUGCUAGUCGUAUAGAUUACUAGAUGUGAUUCCGACUAGUGGGUGACCUUAGAUUAUGUGCACAGAUGAUUGAUGAGAGAAGCACUAGAGCGUAUUUAUUACACCAUCCAUGUCGUACAGACUACUUCAGGUAGUUCCGACUUAUCUGCAGC
rnacentral:lncRNA from 1 species